UUCCUUCCCCCUUCCCUCCGGUUCUCUCUCUCUCUCUCUCUCUCUCUCUCUCUCUCUCUCUCUCUCUCUCUCUCUCUUUUCUCUACUCUUCUCUUGAUUCCACGAGUUUGAAACUAUAAUUCCGUUUCUUUAAAGCGCUGUUUGUGUGACUUUCCCAGCUGAGGAAGACAAUCUGUAUAAAUGGUGGCACCACAGGCAGGCUGCUGCAUUUCAGUCCCACUGCAGUACCCUAGAUGGCUUGGGAAAAGCCUCCAGUCCUCAUCGAUGUAUCCAAUUGGACUUUUGGAAAUCUAUUCCGUUAAGAGUGUGAGUGCGUGUUUGGGGAGGGCUGGUCACGUGAACGCUAGUCUCUCCAAUCUGGGUACCAAUGAAGCCAACACCGGCCAGGAGGGAAACAUCAAUGAGCCAAGUGACCAGUUUGCCCUGGCCUGGUGAAGCACUGCAGAGUCUGAGGCCCCAGAAGGGUGAGCAGAGUGCACCUGGAGAAAAGGAGAGCAGCGGACGAUGUUAGCUUCUGCUUCUCCACUGGGGGCCGCAGUCACCUUCAGCAUCCGGAAAUAGGGAGAAGCAAACCCCGGGGUGGAUCUGGCCCGAGGCUCCCUCCAGUUCCAACCUCUGCUUGCUUUUGCCCGGUCUCAGCAGGCGCGACUCUUAAGGAAGCAGAGGCUUUCUCAGGACUCUGGGGUUGCGGGCGCCCACUCUCUAGGUGGCUGCAGCCUCUGGCAGGGCACGCCCUCGGCGCUAUUGCCGCGCCCCUCUGGAGUCUGCCCCUCCCGCCCUAGGGAGCACGAGCCCACUGCUGGAGAGUCCUGCCUUCCUCUGCUCCCCAGGCGGGAGAUGAUGGAGAGGCUAAACUGGGUCUCUGGCCAUCGAGUUCCUGGCCCGAGCUGCCCACGGUAUCCAAGACCGUGAUGUGGUGACACUGGCUGAGCCUCAGAAACCGAGAUUGGGGCUGAUCCGGACUCUGAGGCCGCAUCCUCCAGCCGCUGAGAGCCCCAGCAUCAUGCAAGUGGGCAGUGGCUGCCGACUGCCCAGGAAAGCCCGGGUGCGACCCUAGUCUGCAGAUCCAGACCUCGUGCUGUGGGGGCUGAAGUUAACCUACGCCAGGGGUGUUGCCCCAAGUGCAAAGCCUGGGCUGCCCUGGAGCCUAGGAUUCUUUUGCCUAGGGAACCUUCGGGAAGCUCUGCGUUGGAGGCCCUGUGGACCACCACCUCAGAGCCACGCAAGAGCUGCGGAGGACCGGGGACGGAGAGCUGGAGCAGCCCCCAGAGGAUAGAACUGGCUGGUGCUGCAGUGUAGUCAGUAAGCUUGCACAUCUAAAUCAUGGAGGCCAAUCAGGAAGCUUCCCUCUUUUUGGUGAAGAUCUUAGAAGAACUGGACAGUAAACAAAAUACUGUUUCCUAUCAAGACCUGUGCAAGUCACUCUGUGCCCAGUUUGAUCUGUCUCAGCUUGCCAAACUGAGAAGUGUGCUUUUCUAUACAGCAUGCCUCGAUCCCAACUUUCCAGCAACUUUAUUCAAAGACAAGAUGAAAUGCUCUGUAAAUAAUCAGCAGUCAAAGAAAAUCAUGGUGGCAGCAGAUAUCGUAACAAUCUUCAACCUGAUCCAGAUGAAUGGGGGCACUGCCAAGGAGAAGCUGCCCAUGAGUUGCCACAAGGUGCGCAAGAAGGAAGCAUCCUUUGAGUCUUGCCGGUCCGACACCGAGGUGUGCAGCCCGACAGUUUGUGAGCCUCUGAACUGUGAGCUGAGUGAGAGACCCUUCAGCCGAGGCUACCCCACCAGGCAGUCAUCCAAAUGCCGGAAGAUGGACUGUAAGGAAUGCCCACAGUUUGUCCCUGCCUCUGAGCCCAACUUCCUGUUGGGUGUUAGCAAAGAGGUGAAAAAUCGGGCAGCCUCUCUGGAUAGGCUGCAAGCCCUGUCCCCCUAUUCUGUGGCCAGCCCUCAGCCCUGUGAGAUGCAGAGGACCUAUUUCCCCAUGAAUAUUGAGAACGAGCCCAUGUCAGAUCAGGACUCUCUGCCCAUCAGCCAAGGCAUCAAAGAGACCUUCAUCUCCAGUGAGGAACCGUUUGUGGUUCAGUCCUGUGUUCAGAAAAGGAACAUCUUCAAAGAAGACUUCCACAAUCUCAUGACUGUAUCCCCCAGUUUGGUUGGUACAACUAACAAAGCAGAAGAGGGUCAUGGGGAGCCCCAGAGUCAGAAGGAGCUCCACAAGCCACCCUUCUUCAACCACAGCUUUGAGAUGCCUUACCACAACCAAUACCUGAAUCCGGUGUAUUCCCCCAUCCCUGACAAAAGGCGGGCGAAGCAUGAAAGCUUAGAUGACCUUCAAGCCUCUACCUAUUUUGGACCCACUCCAGUGAUGGGAACACAAGAUACCAGGCGCUGUCCAGGGAGGUCCAGUAAACAGACUCCAUGGCCCGCCAAAAGCUGGAGCCUAAACACGGAGGAAGUGCCUGAUUUCGAACGCUCCUUUUUCAAUAGAAAUCCCUCUGAAGAGAAGCUACGCUAUCCAAAUUCUGGCAGCCAGACUCCCAAUUUCUCAGGCCCAGACAGGCAUCCAGUUUACUUGGUGCCAAAGGAUCAACAGAAGGUUCUCCCUGCUGGCUAUGCAGUGAAACCAAAUGGACUCAAAUCGAAAGAGAUCUCGUCCCCUGUUGACCUAGAGAAGCACGAAGCAGUCAAGAAGUUUAAAGACAAAAGCAUCAGCUGCACCAGUGGGCAGCACAGCUCAGACACCAGUAGUGUGGGUACCCAGACAGAGCAGCAUGUGCUGGAUCCCCCCAAAUGCAAAGAUUUGUGUACUUCGGGUCAGGCCAAGUACGGUGACAGGCAUGCCAUGAAGCAGUCGGACGAUGACUCAGAAAUCGUCAGCGACGACAUCAGUGACAUUUUCCGGUUUCUCGAUGACAUGAGCAUCAGCGGCUCCACAGGAGUGAUACAGUCAUCCUGCUACAACAGCACCGGCUCCUUGUCUCAGCUUCAUAAGUCAGACUGUGAUAGUUCGCCAGAGCACCACCUCGCCAAAAUCACCAAUGGGGUCUCCAGCGGCAAGGGGGACAAGUGUAACCGGCCUGAAAACGUCCAUCACUCCGAGGAAGAGUUGAAGAGUAGCGUGUGCAAACUGGUUCUCAGGAUUGGUGAGAUAGAGCGGAAGCUGGAAUCGCUGUCUGGGGUCCGAGAGGAAAUCUCCCAGGUCCUUGGGAAACUCAAUAAACUGGAUCAGAAAAUACAGCAGCCGGAGAAAGUGAAUGUGCAGAUUGACCUGAACUCCUUGACGAGUGAGGCACCUUCUGAUGACAGCGCCUCUCCGAGGGUCUUCCGUGCACACAGUGGCUCCCACGGACCUAAGCUGGAGAACAGUCCUGACUGGUGCUGCUCAGAUGCCAGUGGAAGUAACAGUGAAAGCCUGCGUGUCAAGGCCUUAAAGAAAAGCCUCUUUACCAGGCCAUCUUCCAGGUCCCUGACUGAGGAGAACAGUGCCACAGAGUCUAAAAUUGCCAGCAUCUCGAACUCUCCCAGAGACUGGCGAACCAUCACAUACACCAACCGGAUGAGCCUCAACGAGGAGGAGAUAAAAGAUGCAGGCCCAGCCAAUAACAAAGAUUGGCAUCGGAAAUCUAAGGAGGCAGACAGGCAGUAUGACAUCCCCCCACAGCACAGAUUGCCCAAGCAGCCCAAAGAUGGCUUCCUGGUGGAGCAGGUGUUCAGCCCUCAUCCUUACCCCACCUCCCUCAAGGGCCACAUGAAGAGCAACCCCCUGUAUACAGACAUGCGGCUGACUGAACUAGCUGAGGUGAAGCGGGGCCAGCCUUCUUGGACCAUAGAGGAAUAUGCUCGGAACUCCGGUGACAAAGGCAAGCUGACAGCUCUGGACCUGCAGCACGUGGGAUAAGCAUGUUUAUGGGAGCCAAGCUAUGGAUUAUGUUUCCAUACGGAGCCACCCCAGACCCAAGAAUCUUUAAACCCAAACAACUUAGAGUACUGGAUGGAAGAUAUUUAUACUCCAGGCUAUGAUUCAUUACUAAAACGGAAAGAAGCUGAAUUCAGACGAGCCAAGGUUUGCAAGAUCGCUGCUCUUAUCACUGCUGCUGCAUGCACGGUCAUUCUUGUCAUUGUUGUGCCAAUCUGCACGAUGAAGUCCUGAACCUGUGGACUCAGCAUUACAUGCAGCUCCUGACUCCCAAAGUCUUUCUCUGUAAUUUCAAAAGCUGGCCCCACUGUGGCUACAGUCUGCUGGAAUAGAGACAAAAUCCUGGAUGCGUUUCUACAGUGCCGAAGGUCAUCUCCAGAGAGUAUAUACUCUGGAAAGACAUCUGCCUAGCUGUUAAGCUUUGACAUAGCUACACUCUGAAUAUAUUUCCAAAAGUACACUAUCCUUUUCCACAUAAGGAAUGCCAUGGAUUGUCAGUAAAUAAAAGUUGGAUUCUUUCAUUUGGAUGGUGAUUCGUGGUGGGCAUUAAGUUAUACAGAACAGAUCCAAUACCUGCUCUUUGAAGGAGCUGACUGACGUUGACACAAUGAUUAAAAAAAAAAAGAGAAAGAGCAAAAGCAAAGGGGUGCGAUCUCUUUCCUUAACAUGCUACGUUUGUUGCUGGCGAUGUGACUGGAUGUGUGUCCACAAGAACGUGGCUUCUCCUCGGACUUUUAUUAAGGGCUACUGACUUCCAUCUUGCCCUUCUGUCAUUGUCUGUAGAACAUCUGAAUUGUUGCAGCUCCUGAAAGCAGCUUUCUGAAUUUCUUUGGCCCAGGCAAGAGGGAGCUGUACUUCCAGGCCAAGCAUGAUGAUACAGUAUCCUUUUUGUAGAGUGGGUCAAGACACUCAGGAUAGGGAAUCUGCUUGUUGUCCCCAAAAUGAUGUGGGGAAGCUUGCCUUGCCGGUUGGGGUAUGCUCAACAUCUGAAGCUCACAGCCACCCUAAAGGAUCUCUGGUUAUAGCUCUGGCAUGUGGCUCCGUUCCUUGAUUUUCUAACUCUUGGUGGUCCCUGAUGCUCUAUUCUGAAGAGUUUGGAACUUGUCCUUGUGCCUUGAAGAGCAGAGACAAUGGUGACAAUUUAGCAUUCUAACUAUAAACCAUGGUUUCCGCCCACCACUGGUACCAACCAUUUAUGUGGCUUUAAAAAAGAUUUUGAAUGCUUAUUCAAUAGAUAAAGGUACCAAGGUCUUUUCAAUUACAACAUUUACUCCAGUUUUAAAUAUUUGUCAGCAGUGCAAAAAAAAAGCAUCUAUUUAAUCAUUUAUCUAUCUAUAUGUCUAAAUAUCUGAGUUUCAUUUUUUUUUUGUCUUUACUAAGUAAAUAUCGAGAGCAAGAUUUUUUCAAGUGUACAAGAAGCUGUUGUAAUUUUAUUAUAGCUUGAUCUCUGUUCCCACCUGAUUGGUGCUUUGACAAUAAUUGGGUAGAAAGACUCCUUCUCAACAUCUGUGUCUAAUGUCUUACUACAGGUUAAAUAAAAAAUGGUUGUCAGAAACUAGCAACCUUUAAUCUAUUUAAUAACAAAUUGGAGUGUACACACAUUUUGCUAGUAAGAAUAAUCACUUUGGGAAGUAUGCAUAAUUUAUGCAAGUGGAAUCUGAGAAGCCUUUUGAUUUCUAAAGCAAUAGGAGUCCAGCAUCCAUCCUAAAUAUUUCCAAAUAAUGCCGAGCUUGCUGUACUAGACCCUGUUGUCACUAGUUAAGAACUGUCAGUGCAUUUUAUAAUGCUAACAGAUGAGGGAUGAGUUCUCUCACCUGUAGGGGGCCUUUGUUCUUAGAGGUCUUCGUGGUAUCUAUUUCUAUUGAUAUGUUUACUUAUGGUCUUCAAUUAGGUGACUGAAACUUAAGCCUUAGAAUGGAGGACUUGUCAUUGAAAAUGAAUGCAUACAUACAUACACACAUAUACAUGCAUGCAUUCAAACAUACAUACAUACAUACAUGUCUGUUGUCAGAAGUUUAGUCUUUUGGUGCUCUAUUUUAGAUUGGGCACUUCAAAUAAGGUUGUUUAUUCAUUCCAAAAAAGAUAUUAGGUUACAUCCUUUGGAGUCCCUGAUCGACCCCAACCCUCUUGUAAGCAAUGACUCUAUACCACACUGUGGCGUAACCAUUCUGCCCACACCACAGAUUAAACUAUCAAAGUAUCAGAAAGAGCAGUUUUCAACUUCUUGCUCUGUGGCUUGCUCAACAUCUGAGAUGUACUCUUCUUGGAUAAUAAGUCUUGUCAAAUCCCAACCUGACUCCUUCCUUUGACAGGUGGGAUUAUGGAGGCCAGAUGAAACUGCUGAUAAAAUGAAGCUAAUCACAGUCCAUUCAUUGUCACUGCCCUAGGGAAAAAAUCUAUUUCUAAUGGGCCCUAUGUGGAUCAUAUGACUGUAAGCCUAAUUCAAGAAUAGAAGUGAACGGAUUCUGUAGAACUUUCUAAUAUCCUUUUCAUUUCUGGGGAAGUAGUCAAAGAAAUCCAAUCUUGCUCUAAGUCCAACUCAGUGUUGUCCCAUACUGAAAGCACGAUCCAGACCAUAAAGGUCAAAGUAAGACUGGAGGUUUUCUCUGGAAAGUGGCGUCUUCAAGCAGGUAGCACCAAGUCUAGUGCUGAUGAACCACACCUUUGCUGUGCUUAUGAGGUCAUGGAAACCUGGUCUCAGGAUCCAUAAAAGAUGAUGUUUAUAGUUAAGAUAUUUUUCCUUUUGACACCAACCUGAUUUUCUUAUAUCCUCGACACCCCCUAGUUCCCCUAACCCCUCAAGACUCAUAAUCAAGCAAGACAAAGUUUACUUGACAAAAAAGUAUACAACCCUCAAUAUAAUAAGUUUCCCUCAGCUCCUGUUGCAAUGCAGCAGCCCCAAGGUAAAGGUGACUGACUGGCCUUCUGUCUUUAUAAAAUGUACAUGUUUCACACCCAAAUUUAAAGUCACUGCAUGUUACAAAUUCACUCCAUUUUUGUUGGCUUGCCUGCCUUCCUUCCUUCCUUCCUUCCUUCCUUCCUUCCUUCCUUCCUUCCUUCCUUCCUCCCUCCCUUCCUCCCUCCCUCCCUCCCUCCCUCCCUCCCCCCUCUCUUUUCUUUCUUUCUUUCUUCUUUUGUAUUUAAAUAACUAAUCAGGUGACUUUACCAUUGAAGGGAUUAUUUUUUCAGAUGUAUCUAGCCAAUGAUGAAAUUCAGAAUCAUUUCAUCUUCUUUACUGAUCUGAAAUUGUUUUGAACACAGCCUUGCAGAAAAGCAAUUGCCAAUCAAAAGAACUUUUCCGCUCUCUGCUAUCAGGCACUUUAUUCCAGUACUCCCUUGUUUAAACUAUUGACACAAAGAAGCCAAUCACACAUCAUCUGCUGCCAGCUAAUCAUAAAUUGUUUUUUUAUUUUAGGGCAUGCAUCCAUGUGAAUAAUAACUGCAAGGAUAGCUUAAUAGAUAUGAUAAAACAAUCAAUAUUCUGAAUACCUGUACUAUUGUUGCCAUUGUCUUAAUUCCUUGUCAGACACAGGCAGUGUGCAUUUUGUGAACAGUGACAUCUUAUCUGUUUGUUUAUAUUUUUGCACUAAGCCCCUCUGCUAAUGGUCAAAUAGUAUGAGAAUUUUUGAAUGUUGGAAAUCAACAUGUUUCCUAUUAUUACUAUAGCCAAACCUACAAGAAUAUUGUGGUCAAUUGUGUGAAUACCAAAUCAUUAUAUACUAUAUAUUGUACUACAGAAAUUUGUAUUUUAAGGGAAAGAUUUGAGUAACUCUUGGUAUAACUGAAGAGUAUGAGAUAUUUAUUAAGUAACCGUGAGAAAUGCAGCAACUUUCCUUAUUUAUGCCUUAUGAACAAUAGAGUGUGAAAUGUAAGGCAAAGUUUUAUGUGAAGACCCUAAAGGGGGGGGUUUCUAUGAAGGCAGGGAUUGUGUCUUUCUGUUUGUUCUGUACAGCUCUCAGCACACUCUUGGUGCUUGAUAAAUGUUAUAUAAUACCAAUAACUAAGCACAUUUUUAGAUCUUUUUUCAAAUGGCUCGUGUAAAAUUUGGUUAAUGUUGGUUUGAAGCUAUCAUGUAAAAUCUGCCUCUCCAAAUAUAAUCAAAAUAAAUGGAAAUAUGCAGCAACUUGCA